rnacentral:tRNA from 1 species
GUCGGGGUGGCGGAAUUGGCAGACGCGCACGUUUGAGGGGCGUGUGGGGAAACCCGUGCGGGUUCAAGUCCCGCUCUCGACACCA